UACGGGGGGGGCAAGCGUUGUUCGGAAUUACUGGGCGUAAAGGGCGCGUAGGCGGCCUGCUAAGUCACACGUGAAAUCCCUCGGCUCAACCGGGGAACUGCGUGUGAUACUGGCGGGCUUGAAUUCGGGAGAGGGAUGUGGAAUUCCAGGUGUAGCGGUGAAAUGCGUAGAUAUCUGGAGGAACACCGGUGGCGAAGGCGGCAUCCUGGACCAAUACUGACGCUCAGGCACGAAAGCGUGGGGAGCAAACAGG
rnacentral:rRNA from 1 species